rnacentral:rRNA from 1 species
GAGUUUGAUCAUGGCUCAGGAUGAACGCUGGCGGAGUGCCUAACACAUGCAAGUCGAGCGGCAGCGGACCUUCGGGUGCCGGCGAGCGGCGGACGGCUGAGUAACGCGUGGGAACAUGCCCCAAAGUGAGGGAUAACGCACCGAAAGGUGUGCUAAUACCGCAUAUGAUCUUUCGGAUUAAAAGGAUUUUAUCCGCUUUUGGGAGUGGCCUGCGUACGAUUAGAUAGUUGGUGAGGUAAUGGCUCACCAAGUCGACGAUCGUUAACUGGUUUGAGAGGAUGAUCAGUCAGACUGGAACUGAGACACGGUCCAGACUCCUACGGGAGGCAGCAGUGACGGAAUCUUCCACAAUGGGCGAAAG